GAUGGUCAUGUACUAUUACUUUCGCACUUCUCUCUAAAUUCUAAGGUGAGGAGUCUCCCAAAACUUGUUGCGGGUUCACUGUUAGGAAUUAGUGUACGGUUCAUCUUUAACCAUCUUUCACUCAGUAUGGGAAGAUAUUUACAUGUAUUGAGCUCUUCAGUUCUUAUCUUAGCAAGCUUUUGUCCAAAAAAAAAAAAAAAACUUAUCUUAGCAAGCGGUUUGAUUUUAACAUCUCGUAAGUAGCGAAGUGUACACUUGAAGAUGAUGUGACUCAUGGCCUGAAUGGACUAAUAAAAAUGAAUACGAUGAAGAUUUCUUGAAUGGGUUUCUUUUUUGUUUAUCGUGCUCAAUUGUCUGGUGAGUGUGCUUUUAAAUUUUGCUUCUGAAAGUUCUGCAAAGUAGAAUAACUUUUGUAGGCUUAAGUUCAAUGGAUUUGUAAAUAACUGUGUGGGAAAUGAAUAAUGAAAUUGGUGAUAAGAAUUUUAUAGUGGUGUACAAUAGAACUGACAACAUGCACAACUUGAUUCUACUUGGUAGCAUUUGAACUGCCGUUAUUCUAAUGUCAUAUAAAUAAGGAGGAAAAAUUAUAUUUUCGUGAACUGAUAUAAACUUACCCUAGGUGACAGUUAAUUGGGCUCAUUUGUUUGCUUAAAUUUGAUGUAGUGUUACUUACUUCAAGCAUCUCCUUUUAAUGUAAAUACCAAGCCACUUCAGCUAUGGGCAUAGAUUAACAGGGAAUUCUACAGGCUAUAAUGAAUUAUUCAAUUGCAGGGAAAUACAACAAUGACUAAAGAAUUAUGUUGUUGAAUACUGCACUAAGAGUUGAGAACCUCGAGUUUUGAAGAUGGUUUCUAGGAAAGACAACUGCAGACAAGACUUAGCAACAUAUGCAAAGGCAUGACAUGGUGAAGCAUUGGAUCACACUUAACAAACCUUAUACAUAUUUAUGGUACAAGGUUAUCAUCUCGGCAGCCAGUCAUCACAGGGGCGAUAAGCACUGAAGACAUUUCCUAAAAUCAUUGAAUUCUUUGAGAUUUGAGUCGGGAUAAAUAAGUUGUCACUCUUGAGAUUGAAAGUGUCUCACGAUGUAAAAUCUAUAUUUACUGUUAAGUUAGAUUAUUUCAUUUUUGAUAUCCAUCAGGUGUGUAUGUGUGUAUGACUUUAUGUGCCUCAAACUCAAAUCGAUGCAGGACUAUUGCAGGACAACAAUACUCUUUUGAUUUCAUCAGGAGGUUUCUACUAUUAUGUCAAUAUAGAAAUGCUUCACAAA